rnacentral:rRNA from 1 species
UACGUAGGGGGCGAGCGUUGUCCGGAUUUAUUGGGCGUAAAGAGCGUGUAGGCGGCCAGGUAGGUCUGCUGUGAAAACUCGAGGCUCAACCUCGAGACGUCGGCGGAAACCAUCUGGCUAGAGUCCGGAAGAGGAGAGUGGAAUUCCUGGAUGUAGCGGUGAAAUGCGCAGAUAUCAGGAAGAACACCCGUGGCGAAGGCGGCUCUCUGGGACGGUACUGACGCUGAGACGCGAAAGCGUGGGGAGCGAAACAGG